rnacentral:lncRNA from 1 species
CCGACUCAUGCGCGUGUCUUGAUGUUUAAACUCAGAAGGAUGUUUAAACUCGGUUGUCUAUGAGACAAAAUGGCUAGUUUUUGGAGGGUCUGGGGCAUUACAUUCUGCAGAUUAAGAUUUUUGCCCGAUAUUGGCCAAGUCAAGGAAAUAGAUGCUAAGGCCAAAUGCUUUGAAAAACCACAAACUCCUGUUUCUGUGGGAAAUGUUUGGCCUGUUGAAUCAAACUCAAUAAAGAACAGUAAAAUCUGUUAUUUCA